rnacentral:rRNA from 1 species
AUACGGAGGAUCCGAGCGUUAUCCGGAUUUAUUGGGUUUAAAGGGAGCGUAGAUGGAUGUUUAAGUCAGUUGUGAAAGUUUGCGGCUCAACCGUAAAAUUGCAGUUGAUACUGGAUAUCUUGAGUGCAGUUGAGGCAGGCGGAAUUCGUGGUGUAGCGGUGAAAUGCUUAGAUAUCACGAAGAACUCCGAUUGCGAAGGCAGCCUGCUAAGCUGCAACUGACAUUGAGGCUCGAAAGUGUGGGUAUCAAACAGGAUUAGAUACCCUGGUAGUCCACACGGUAAACGAUGAAUACUCGCUGUUUGCGAUAUACGGCAAGCGGCCAAGCGAAAGCGUUAAGUAUUCCACCUGGGGAGUACGCCGGCAACGGUGAAACUCAAAGGAAUUGACGGGG